CCUACGGGGGGCUGCAGUGGGGAAUAUUGCGCAAUGGGGGGAACCCUGACGCAGCAACGCCGCGUGAAGGAAGAAGGUCUUCGGAUUGUAAACUUCUUUGAUGAGGGACGAAGUAAGUGACGGUACCUCAAAAACAAGCCACGGCUAACUACGUGCCAGCAGCCGCGGUAAUACGUAGGUGGCGAGCGUUGUCCGGAAUUACUGGGUGUAAAGGGCGUGUAGGCGGGGAUGCAAGUCAGAUGUGAAAUACCGAGGCUUAACCUCGGGGCUGCAUCUGAAACUGUGUUUCUUGAGUGUCGGAGAGGAAAGCGGAAUUCCUGGUGUAGCGGUGAAAUGCGUAGAGAUCAGGAGGAACACCGGUGGCGAAGGCGGCUUUCUGGACGACAACUGACGCUGAGGCGCGAAAGCGUGGGGAGCAAACAGGAUUAGAUACCCCUGUAGUC
rnacentral:rRNA from 1 species